rnacentral:rRNA from 1 species
GACAGAGGGUGCAAACGUUGUUCGGAAUUACUGGGCGUAAAGCGUGUGUAGGCGCCUUGCAAGUCGGAUGUGAAAGCCCCGGGCUCAACCCGGGAACUGCAUUCGAUACUGCGCGGCUAGAGUGCUGGAGGGGAGACUGGAAUUUACGGUGUAGCAGUGAAAUGCGUAGAUAUCGUAAGGAAGACCAGUGGCGAAGGCGAGUCUCUGGACAGCAACUGACGCUGAGGCACGAAGGCCAGGGGAGCAAACGGG